rnacentral:rRNA from 1 species
UUCCCGGGUCUUGUACACACCGCCCGUCACACCACGAGAGUUUGUAACACCCGAAGCCGGUGGAGUAACCUUUUAGGAGCUAGCCGUCGAAGGUGGGAUAAAUGAUUGGGGUGAAGUCGUAACAAGGUAGCCGUAUCGGAAGGUGCGGCUGGAUCACCUCCUUU